rnacentral:rRNA from 1 species
AGUUCGAUUCGGCUCAGAUUGAACGCUGGCGGGAUGCUUUCAUACAUGCAAGUCGAACGGCAGCACGACUUCGGUCUGGUGGCGAGUGGCGAACGGGUGAGUAAUGUAUCGGAACGUGCCCAGUAGCGGGGGAUAACUACGCGAAAGCGUAGCUAAUACCGCAUACGCCCUUCGGGGGAAAGCGGGGACCUUUCGGCCCGCACUAUUAGAGCGGCCGAUAUCGGAUUAGUUGCGGGGUAACGGCUCACUCAAGGCGACGAUCCGUAGCUGGUUUGAGAGGACGACCAGCCACACUGGGACUGAGACACGGCCCAGACUGCUGGGGAGGCAGUGGGGAAUGGAUAAUGGGGAACCCUGAUCCAGCCAUCCGCGUGCGUGAUGAAGGUCCUCGGGUUGUGGAAAGGACUUUGGCAGGGAGAAGAAAUGGCACGGGAUAAUACCCCGUGCAACUGACGGUACCUGCAGAAUAAGCACCGGCUAACUACGUGCCAGCAGCCGCGGUAUGACGUAGGUGGCGUUAAUCGGAAUUACUGGGCGUAGCGUGCGCAGGCGGGCUCGAAAGAAAGAUGUGAAAUCCCAGAGCUUAACUUUGAACUGCAUUUUUAAUGUCGAGCGAGUGCGUCAGAGGGAGGUGGUGGAAUUCCGCGUAGCAGUGAAGGUGCAGAUGCGGAGGAACACUGACGGCGAAGGCAGCCUCCUGGGAUAACACUGACGCUCAUGCACGAAAGCGUGGAGCAAACAGGAUUAGAUACCCCAUGGUAGUCCACGCCCUAAACGAUGUCAACUAGCUGUUGGGGCCUUCGGAAAUUUGGCGCAGCUAUCACAGAAGUUGACCGCCUGGGGAGUACGGUCGCAAGAUUAAACCAGCGAAUUGACGGGACCCGCACAAGCGGUGGAUGAUGUGGAUUAAUUCGAUGCAACGCGAAAACCUUACCUACCCUUGACAUGUCUGGAAUCCCGAAGAGAUUUGGGAGUACCGCAAGAGAACCGGAACAAGAAAAGGGCAUGGCUGUCGUCAGCUCGUGUCGAGAUGUUGGGUUAAGUCCCGCAACGAGCGCAACCCUUGGGUCAGUUGCUUAAGGAAAGGGCACUCCACGAGACUGCCGGUGACAAACCGGAGGAAGGUGGGGAUGACGUCAAGUCCUCAUGGCCCUUAUGGGUAGGGCUUCACACGUCAUACAAUGGUCGGGACAGAGGGUCGCCAACCCGCGAGGGGGAGCCAAUCCCAGAAACCCGGAUCGUAGUCCGGAUCGCAGUCUGCAACUCGACUGCGUGAAGUCGGAAUCGCUAGUAAUCGCGGAUCAGCAUGUCGCGGGUGAAUACGUUCCCGGGUCUUGUACACACCGCCCGUCACACCAUGGGAGUGGGUUUUACCAGAAGUAGUUAGCCUAACCGUAAGGAGGGCGAUUACCACGGUAGGAUUCAUGAAUCAAAGUAAGUCGCAUAAGGUA